CAUUCUGGAAUGUAUUUCUUAAAAUAACCUCUAACAUGAGUUUAAACAGCUCCUUUUAGACAAAUCCAUAUCACCAAGCAUAUAUUUUCCAGCAAAGCAAAACAACACCCCAAUCUUAAGCUAUCAUGCAAACAAAGAAUGAGCAUUGACUAAUUCAAUUUAAGUUCCUUCUACAACAAGAUAUUUAAACAAAUUUAGUAGAAAAUAACUUGAAAGAAUGAACAAAACAACUAAGAACCAGAACAAUGCCUAAUAAAAAAAUAAGACAUGAAAAUACCCUGUCAAACAUACCUUGAAAGUGGAUAGCAAAGCCAAUAGUCUACUGGAUUAAAGAUUCUAAAAAGGCCUACAAAGGAUAAAACAACCUUAAACAACCUAUUACACCAGUCCAGGCAGGACUUUUUAGCAGGGACAGCACAAUCUAAACUUUAACUACGAUACUAACAAAAAAAUGGACAAU